rnacentral:rRNA from 1 species
GGUUAAGCGACUAAGCGUACACGGUGGAUGCCCUGGCAGUCAGAGGCGAUGAAGGACGUGCUAAUCUGCGAAAAGCGCCGGCGAGGUGAUAUGAACCCUUGACCCGGCGAUGUCCGAAUGGGGAAACCCAGUGUGUUCCGACACACUAUCGUUAACUGAAUACAUAGGUUAACGAGGCGAACCGGGGGAACUGAAACAUCUAAGUACCCCGAGGAAAAGAAAUCAACCGAGAUUCCCCCAGUAGCGGCGAGCGAACGGGGAGCAGCCCGGAGUCUGAAUCAGCUUGUGUGUUAGUGGAACGGUCUGGAAAGUCCGACGGUACAGGGUGAUAGUCCCGUACACGAAAAUGUACAUGCUGUGAACUCGAAGAGUAGGGCGGGACACGUGGUAUCCUGUCUGAAUAUGGGGGGACCAUCCUCCAAGGCUAAAUACUCCUGACUGACCGAUAGUGAACCAGUACCGUGAGGGAAAGGCGAAAAGAACCCCGGCGAGGGGAGUGAAAAAGAACCUGAAACCGUGUACGUACAAGCAGUGGGAGCACCUUCGGGUGUGACUGCGUACCUUUUGUAUAAUGGGUCAGCGACUUAUAUUCUGUAGCAAGGUUAACCGUAUAGGGGAGCCGAAGGGAAACCGAGUCUUAACUGGGCGUUAAGUUGCAGGGUAUAGACCCGAAACCCGGUGAUCUAGCCAUGGGCAGGUUGAAGGUUGGGUAACACUAACUGGAGGACCGAACCGACUAAUGUUGAAAAAUUAGCGGAUGACCUGUGGCUGGGGGUGAAAGGCCAAUCAAACCGGGAGAUAGCUGGUUCUCCCCGAAAGCUAUUUAGGUAGCGCCUCGUGAACUCAUCUUCGGGGGUAGAGCACUGUUUCGGCUAGGGGGCCAUCCCGGCUUACCAACCCGAUGCAAACUACGAAUACCGAAGAAUGUUAUCACGGGAGACACACGGCGGGUGCUAACGUCCGUCGUGAAGAGGGAAACAACCCAGACCGCCAGCUAAGGUCCCAAAGUCAUGGUUAAGUGGGAAACGAUGUGGGAAGGCACAGACAGCCAGGAUGUUGGCUUAGAAGCAGCCAUCAUUUAAAGAAAGCGUAAUAGCUCACUGGUCGAGUCGGCCUGCGCGGAAGAUGUAACGGGGCUAAACCAUGCACCGAAGCUGCGGCAGCGACGCUUAUGCGUUGUUGGGUAGGGGAGCGUUCUGUAAGCCGUUGAAGGUGUGCUGUGAGGCAUGCUGGAGGUAUCAGAAGUGCGAAUGCUGACAUAAGUAACGAUAAAGCGGGUGAAAAGCCCGCUCGCCGGAAGACCAAGGGUUCCUGUCCAACGUUAAUCGGGGCAGGGUGAGUCGACCCCUAAGGCGAGGCCGAAAGGCGUAGUCGAUGGGAAACAGGUUAAUAUUCCUGUACUUGGUGUUACUGCGAAGGGGGGACGGAGAAGGCUAUGUCAGCCGGGCGACGGUUGUCCCGGUUUAAGCAUGUAGGCGGAGGUUCCAGGUAAAUCCGGUACCUUUUAACGCUGAGGUGUGAUGACGAGGCACUACGGUGCUGAAGUGAUAAAUGCCCUGCUUCCAGGAAAAGCCUCUAAGCAUCAGGUAACACGAAAUCGUACCCCAAACCGACACAGGUGGUCAGGUAGAGAAUACCAAGGCGCUUGAGAGAACUCGGGUGAAGGAACUAGGCAAAAUGGUGCCGUAACUUCGGGAGAAGGCACGCUGAUAGGUAGGUGAAGCCCCUGCGGGCGGAGCUGAAAUCAGUCGAAGAUACCAGCUGGCUGCAACUGUUUAUUAAAAACACAGCACUGUGCAAACACGAAAGUGGACGUAUACGGUGUGACGCCUGCCCGGUGCCGGAAGGUUAAUUGAUGGGGUUAGCGGCAACGCGAAGCUCUUGAUCGAAGCCCCGGUAAACGGCGGCCGUAACUAUAACGGUCCUAAGGUAGCGAAAUUCCUUGUCGGGUAAGUUCCGACCUGCACGAAUGGCGUAAUGAUGGCCAGGCUGUCUCCACCCGAGACUCAGUGAAAUUGAACUCGCUGUGAAGAUGCAGUGUACCCGCGGCAAGACGGAAAGACCCCGUGAACCUUUACUAUAGCUUGACACUGAACACUGGUCCUUGAUGUGUAGGAUAGGUGGGAGGCUUUGAAGCGUGGACGCCAGUCUGCGUGGAGCCGCCCUUGAAAUACCACCCUUUAAUGGCUGGUGUUCUAACGUAGACCCGUGAUCCGGGUUGCGGACAGUGUCUGGUGGGUAGUUUGACUGGGGCGGUCUCCUCCCAAAGAGUAACGGAGGAGCACGAAGGUUGGCUAAUCCUGGUCGGACAUCAGGAGGUUAGUGCAAUGGCAUAAGCCAGCUUGACUGCGAGCGUGACGGCGCGAGCAGGUGCGAAAGCAGGUCAUAGUGAUCCGGUGGUUCUGAAUGGAAGGGCCAUCGCUCAACGGAUAAAAGGUACUCCGGGGAUAACAGGCUGAUACCGCCCAAGAGUUCAUAUCGACGGCGGUGUUUGGCACCUCGAUGUCGGCUCAUCACAUCCUGGGGCUGAAGUAGGUCCCAAGGGUAUGGCUGUUCGCCAUUUAAAGUGGUACGCGAGCUGGGUUUAGAACGUCGUGAGACAGUUCGGUCCCUAUCUGCCGUGGGCGCUGGAGAAUUGAGGGGGGCUGCUCCUAGUACGAGAGGACCGGAGUGGACGCAUCACUGGUGUUCGGGUUGUCAUGCCAAUGGCACUGCCCGGUAGCUAAAUGCGGAAGAGAUAAGUGCUGAAAGCAUCUAAGCACGAAACUUGCCCCGAGAUGAGUUCUCCCUGAGACUUUAAGUCUCCUGAAGGAACGUUGAAGACGACGACGUUGAUAGGUCGGGUGUGUAAGCGCAGCGAUGCGUUGAGCUAACCGAUACUAAUGAACCGUGAGGCUUAACCUU